AAUAGAUACCCGGGUAGUCCACGCCCUAAACGAUGCAUAUUUGGUGUGGGCAGUUCAGUCUGUCCGUGCCGGAGCUAACGCGUUAAAUAUGCCGCCUGGGGGAGUACAGUCGCAAGGCUGAAACUCAAAGGAAUUGACGGGGGCCCGCACAAGCGGUGGAGCAUGUGGUUCAAUUCGACGCAACGCGAAGAACCUUACCUGGGCUCGAACGGCUGGUCAACGGAGGUGGAAACAUCUCUACCCCGCAAGGGGGUCCAGUCGAGGUGCUGCAUGGCUGUCGUCAGCUCGUGUCGUGAGAUGUUGGGUUAAGUCCCGCAACGAGCGCAACCCUUAACUUCAGUUGCCAUCAUUAAGUUGGGAACUCUGGAGUGACUGCCGUUGAUAAAACGGAGGAAGGUGGGGAUGAUGUCAAGUCAUCAUGGCCUUUAUGCUUAGGGCUACACACGUGCUACAAUGGUCGGUACAAAACGUCGCAAUCUCGUAAGAGGGAGCUAAUCGCUAAAACCGAUCUCAGUUCGGA
rnacentral:rRNA from 1 species